GCGGGAAUAGCUCAGUUGGCUAGAGCGCCUCCUUGCCAAGGAGGAGGUCGAGGGUUCGAAUCCCUUUUCCCGCUCCA
rnacentral:tRNA from 1 species